UGAACAGGGUACAACAUAAUAAUGCACAUAAUUCACAAAUACAAGGCCGGUUAAAUUAGUACUAGGAGUGUAGAGCAGUCCACUAUCCAAAAAUGAAAGCGCCAUGUCUAAACGUUUUUACAACUCUUCCCAGAAAUUACACUUGUCCUCUUAUCCACUGCUCUUCUCCUUCCUUUCCCGCCGAUAAUGGCCGUUUCCGGCUACGCGUCUCCACCACUACUCGCCGGAGAAACAUCAGGUCGGAGCUUUUUCUCGGCGACGAAGAGGAAAUUGAAGCAGAAGAAAACGACAAGCUCUCAAACAUAGCUGAAAAAGCCUCUAGGAGUAGGAGAAUGAGGAGGUCUAGAGGUGUUGUAGACACAGAGGAAGAAGAAGAUGAAGACGACGAAGAUUCGUCGAUGUUGCUAUCUCUGAGUGUGAAACCAGAUAGAAAUUUGGCUUUACUUGAUGAUUAUGAAAUGGAGGAGCUCGAUUUUAUUUCUGAAAAUCCUAAUCAUCGCAGUGGAUAUGUGGCUGUGCUUGGGAAGCCGAAUGUUGGGAAAAGUACACUUUCCAAUCAAAUGGUUGGGCAGAAAUUGUCGAUUGUUACUGAUAAACCUCAAACUACUCGUCAUCGAGUUCUUGGUAUAUGUUCUGGUCCAGAACAUCAGAUGAUACUUUAUGACACUCCCGGUGUCAUAGAGAAGAAAAUGCAUAAGUUAGAUUCAAUGAUGAUGAAGAAUGUACGGAGUGCAGCUGUUAAUGCAGACUGUGUGCUUGUUGUUGUAGACGCAUGUAAGGUUCCUGCAAAGAUAGAUGAAGUAUUGGAAGAGGGUGUUGGAGACCUGAAGUAUAAAGUACCGACAUUGUUAGUCUUGAACAAGAAGGACCUAAUCAAGCCUGGUGAAAUUGCAAAGAGACUUGAGUGGUACGAGAAAUUUACGGACGUUGAUGAGGUCAUACCCGUAAGUGCGAAGUAUGGUCAUGGAGUAGAAGAUGUCAAAGACUGGAUAUUAUCUAAACUUCCUCUUGGGCCUGCUUAUUAUCCCAAGGACAUUGCUAGUGAACAUCCUGAAAGAUUUUUUGUGGCUGAAAUUGUCAGGGAGAAGAUAUUUCUGCAAUACCGAAAUGAAGUUCCUUAUGCAUGCCAGGUUAAUGUAGUUAGUUACAAGACUAGACCGAACGCGAAAGACUUCAUUCAAGUCGAAGUAAUAGUGGAGAAAAACACUCAAAAGAUCAUCCUUAUUGGGAAGGAAGGAAAGGCUUUAAAGCUUCUCGCCACAGCUGCAAGGCUUGACAUAGAAGAUUUCCUACAAAAGAAAGUUUUUCUGGAGGUUGAGGUGAAGGUGAAAGAGAACUGGAGGCAAAAUGAAGGUCUGUUGAAGAACUACGGCUACGGCGGCCAUAUUCAAGCUUUGUGAUUUGGAAAUUCUGCAUUGAACUUACUUUGGAUGGAACGUGAAUGAUGAUCAGUAGCUCUGGAUGCUCUUCAUGAUGAACUAGCUAUAAUUUCUGUAUAUGUUUCCCAAAGUACAUCAGGCUUAGCAGGCAAAUGGGAUCUUGUGAAAGUUCUUGAUGUCAGGAUCAGGCAUCACUAAUAUCCCUGCGGAAGAGAUCAUGAUGUGAAUGCACCAGAUCUCAUCUCAGCACUGCCAAUCUGAAUUCGGAUUAAUGUAGUUGUCCCUUGAGGGAUGCUGUUGAAGGAAGAACUUGACAGAAGAUGCAGGUGGCUGGCUGCUCAGCAAGUUAACCUUGGACAAGUUCACCUGCUGGUGUAGUAGGUGUUCCAGGCACUGAUGAAGUCAGGAAUUUCUAUAAGGAUAUUCAAUAUAUAUACACAUUUAUUCAGACUAACUGAUCACCUUUCAGUUUAUGUGGCUAUGCAGCCGCUGGUACAACUACCACAAUGCAGACUGUUACUCCCAUCGAACUAGUUCUUGAUGGAUCUUUUUGGUGUCAAAUUCGGGGCUCUUCACCAAAACAAAUAAGAAUACCUAAUCUCACAUGCAAGAUAUUGUUAUGUCACUUCAACUUUAUCAUAUGCUGUUGAAAUCAAAUUGGUAAAGAUUCCAUAACCCACAGCCGUUGUACAUUGAGAUGGAAUAAAAUUUGGGGUCAACCAUUUCUAUAUGCGAAGACGGAGGGCAGUUUUGGUUUGCAGCUAUUCCCACUAGGCUGCUUUCUCCCGGCCUUGUCGAUACAGCGCAUCUUACAGGGUGCCUUUUACUAACUAAUAUUUAGGCUUAGGGUCUUUUGGUAGGAGGGAUAAGUAUAAUUAAUCUCGGAAUUAAUUUAGAAGAGAAGCUUAUCCCAUGUUUGGUUGAGACAAAAUGCAUGGGAUAACUCAUUCCGAAAUUGUAGUGUUUUUCUUAUCCCUCCUUGAGAGUGGGAUAGCUAAUCUCGGAAUAACUUGUUUCCAACCAAACGUUAGUGUAUGUGACGUCCGAUUUUUGCUCUUUUCCA